AACGAACGCUGGCGGCAUGCCUAACACAUGCAAGUCGAACGAGACCUUCGGGUCUAGUGGCGCACGGGUGCGUAACGCGUGGGAACCUGCCCUUAGGUUCGGAAUAACUCCCCGAAAGGGGUGCUAAUACCGGAUAAUGUCUUCGGACCAAAGAUUUAUCGCCUUUGGAUGGGCCCGCGUUGGAUUAGCUAGUUGGUAGGGUAAAAGCCUACCAAGGCGACGAUCCAUAGCUGGUCUGAGAGGAUGAUCAGCCACACUGGGACUGAGACACGGCCCAGACUCCUACGCGAGGCAGCAGUGGGGAAUACUGGACAAUGGGCUAAGGCCUGAUCCAGCAAUGCCGCGUAAGUGAUGAAGGCCGUAGGGUUGUAAAGCUCGUUUAACCGGGAUGAUAAUGACAGUACCGGGAGAAUAAGCUCCGGCUAACUCCGUG
rnacentral:rRNA from 1 species